AACAUGCUUCCUUAGAUCCACCUUUGUGGAUGACUCUUGAUUGAGUUCUACUUGUAAAUUUCUUGUUUCUUGUAGUUCCAAUCAAAGAAUCAUCCAGCAACUUUUUCGGUUGUAUAGUCAAAGGUGCUUGAGUCAUUGGCAUGUGAGAUGAAUCCACCUGCAUAUUAGUCUCAGGUUCUGAUAGAAAUGACAGGCAGUGAUGCUGUCAUUGUUUGCUGUCAGGACUUGACUGGUGUGCGGACAGU
rnacentral:snoRNA from 1 species